UACGUAGGGGGCUAGCGUUGUCCGGAAUCAUUGGGCGUAAAGAGCGUGUAGGCGGCCCGGUAAGUCCGCUGUGAAAGUCGGGGGCUCAACCCUCGAAUGCCGGUGGAUACUGUCGGGCUAGAGUGCGGAAGAGGCGAGUGGAAUUCCUGGUGUAGCGGUGAAAUGCGCAGAUAUCAGGAGGAACACCAAUUGCGAAGGCAGCUCGCUGGGACGUAACUGACGCUGAGGCACGAAAGCGUGGGGAGCAAACAGG
rnacentral:rRNA from 1 species